rnacentral:rRNA from 2 species
UAAGGAAUAUUGGUCAAUGGGCGGAAGCCUGAACCAGCCAUGCCGCGUGCAGGAUGACUGCCCUAUGGGUUGUAAACUGCUUUUGUCCAGGAAUAAACCUCUUUACGAGUAGAGAGCUGAAUGUACUGGAAGAAUAAGGAUCGGCUAACUCCGUGCCAGCAGCCGCGGUAAUACGGAGGAUCCGAGCGUUAUCCGGAUUUAUUGGGUUUAAAGGGUGCGUAGGCGGCCUAUUAAGUCAGGGGUGAAAUACGGUGGCUCAACCAUCGCAGUGCCUUUGAUACUGAUGGGCUUGAAUCCAUUUGAAGUGGGCGGAAUAAGACAAGUAGCGGUGAAAUGCAUAGAUAUGUCUUAGAACUCCGAUUGCGAAGGCAGCUCACUAAGCUGGUAUUGACGCUGAUGCACGAAAGCGUGGGGAUCGAACAGG